GGUAGGGCCAACAUCUGCCUAGGAAACAUCUGCUCUUCUCAUCUUCCUGCAAAUUGCCCUCCUCCCCUUUGAAGCCUCAGCCCCAUCUCUUUCCUCAGCUCAGGAUGGCAUUAUUAGAGCAGCCAAAGAACCUAGAAAGAAAGAAGGAAAAAUUCUCCCCCCGGCACCCCCUGACAGUUUGGUGACCUGCAAAGGGACAUUCGCUGGCUGGAUACAGCUUCCUCCAGGGAGGCUGCCGCUGAGAGAAGCCAGGUAAACAAGCUAGAGCUGGACAACUUGAUAAAACUUCAAAGAAAUCACCACAAUAGCUCAUGUAUGGACAACCUUAAUGCCUCCGUGUCACAGAAGGAUCACCAGAGACAUUCAAACUGCCAACCAGAAAAAUCUAGCAGGUUGCUGCUGCCCUUCCUUACUCCAUCUGAAGAGGUUAGGAGCCAGAUAUCUAGAAAUCUCGACUGGCUGCCUUUAGAACUCAGAAACUGGGAGUGUAAUCUUCUCCAGUCAUUAACUGUUGUUUUUCUUUUGUUUCCAUAGAAAUGCUUCUUAUUAAAUACCUAAUUGCUUGCACCAUGGAACUAA